UACGUAGGGACCAAGCGUUGCUCGGAAUUACUGGGCGUAAAGCGCACGUAGGCGGCUUUCUAAGUCAGGGGUGAAAUCCUGGAGCUCAACUCCAGAACUGCCUUUGAUACUGAAGAUCUUGAGUUCGGGAGAGGUGAGUGGAACUACGAGUGUAGAGGUGAAAUUCGUAGAUAUUCGCAAGAACACCAGUGGCGAAGGCGGCUCACUGGCCCGAUACUGACGCUGAGGCACGAAAGCGUGGGGAGCAAACAGGG
rnacentral:rRNA from 1 species